rnacentral:rRNA from 1 species
AUUGAACGCUGGCGGCAUGCUUUACACAUGCAAGUCGAACGGUAACAGGGAGCUUGCUCCGCUGACGAGUGGCGAACGGGUGAGUAAUGCAUCGGAACGUACCCAGUCGUGGGGGAUAACGUAGCGAAAGUUACGCUAAUACCGCAUACGUCCUGAGGGAGAAAGCGGGGGACCGUAAGGCCUCGCGCGAUUGGAGCGGCCGAUGUCGGAUUAGCUAGUUGGUGGGGUAAAGGCCUACCAAGGCGACGAUGUUUAGGGGACCUGAGAGGGUUAUCCCCCACACUGGUACUGAGACACGGACCAGACUCCUACGGGAGGCAGCAGUGAGGAAUAUUGGUCAAUGGGCGCAAGCCUGAACCAGCCAUCCCGCGUGAAGGAAGAAGGCCCUAUGGGUUGUAAACUUCUUUUCCAGGGGGUGAAUAAUUCCGAUGUAUCGGGAGAUGACGGUACCCUGGGAAUAAGCAUCGGCUAACUCCGUG